rnacentral:lncRNA from 1 species
UGACAGUGCAGAAAAAGAAGGGUUUCAUAUGUGGAGUGUGAUGCAUGUCAAUGGGAGUUUCCUCCACCUGGUGACUCAGGUAUCCAGGCACAUUCAUCUCUGCGGGUCUGCCAUCUUGACACGAGGUCAUUGCAGAAGGAGAGAGGGUGUAGAGUCAUGCCAGUUCUUAGGUGCUCCUGACAAGGAGAUCUGCAGCACUCUGCUCACAUUCCUGUUUUCCAGAACUCAGCCAGUACCCAGUGCAACUGCCAAAGAGUCUUGGAGCCUCCCUUCUGCUCCCAGAGGCUUUUCUUGCUCAUGUCUCCAGCCACAAUAUC